UGUGGAGCCAGGAUCCGCCUGUUCCGAUGCCUCAUUUAAGGGCUGGCAGUGGAGGUGAGGGUGUUUUUUGUUGGAGAUUCCUGCAUAUCUGGGGCCUUUCAGAGGUAAGCAGAUCUUUUCCUUUCUUGUUGUAUCUUUGGCUGGUGCAUUUGGCCUUGUUUUCAUUUGCUGUAACUAAAGACUUUGCCACCCUACUGUUAUCCUCUGAUUUUAGCGUUAGCUAUACUAGCUUCAUUUGGCCUUUAAGGACUGUUGACAAAGUCUUCUCAAUAAGCAAGGGGGUACAAGCCUGAAUCUGAACCAAACUGGGAUCUGGACAGCUGAGUGUGCAAGUUGGACAACAAAGCGUUAAGAUCACCAACAGAAACUGAACAAAAUGCUAUGCUCCAAAUUGCCAAAGCUGGUUCCUAUUUCUCUGGUAAAGAAUGCACGUCAGUCACUUGCUCUGCAGUCAGCACACAGGGGUUCUGGUGUUUUAAACAGAUGACUUUGGCACCUGCUCCUUCAGUUCAAUUGUUAAUCCCAGCCCCUGCAGAAAUAAGGAGGCUGCAAUACACGCAUUUUGCAGAGUUCUGAGAAGGAACGUGUCUACGCUGAUUCUGUGACCUGGAGAUCAGUCUAUGAUUCUAGAUUGUCAUUUGUUCACACACCCGUGUAUGGAAGCCACUGCUCACAGCUCACUCCACUUCCUUUCCCUUCUUGGCAUCACCCGGCUCUGGGAACACCCAUUUGGGAUCAGCCUCCUGCAGGCAGCAGCUUCUGUCCAGCACUAUCAAAGGGCAGGUGUUGACUCACUAGGGGUGAGGACACAGUGUGCGAUCUGAAAGUGAAACCGGAACUGAGAUAUCACCCAGAGCAUCCAGUAGCAGAACACACUAAGUGGGGCUUGGACAGCAGCUGCUGCAAAGCCUGUGAUCCUUCCGUGCCCGGGGAUGCCUUUGCCUUCACCUUCUUCACCUCUGUCUUCUUCCUCCAAUGAUAGAAUGUGCGUCUCGUGGUUUUGUUGGAGAAGUUUGAGUCUAGUUUAUAAUUGCUAUGUUGCACACUGAUUGGCAGCAGAUCUGUCGAGAGUCCUGGUGAGCGAGAAGUCGGGGGAACUAAGGAUUCUAAUAGCUAGAAGUUCUGUGCAACAAAAAGGAACUUCUCCAGGAAGGUUUUCUGAGUCCUGAGCAGCACAACAGCAUCGUUUUGCAGAGCAGUGAAGAGGAGAGAAUGCAGAAGCUCUGCAAACUGGUGGAAAAAUGGGACAUCACUGCCAAAUACCGCCUGUAUAAGGAGCUGAUGAAAAACAGUUCUUUCCUCUCCAUGCGAUAUCCAGAUACUGUGAUUGUGUGAUUCUAAGACUCAUGCUUCCACUUGCCUCUCUGCAGAGGUGGUUCUUCAAACCUGCAUUUCUCCACCCCACCACUAUCUCCUGUUUCCUGCAAGUAGGUGAAGCUACAUUCGCAUGGAAGGUGCUCAGGCACAGACUGUCAUCCCAUCUCAUCACCCUCAAGAAGCAGAAGGUGAGUUCUGAGCUUCUUAACACCAUCCCCUCCUUUACUCUACUGGGUCACAGUCCCAAUAUUCCAUUCCCUUCCAUCCCUUUAAAUGCACCCUUGCAAAAGCAGAGCUGGCUAGGGCUCUUCACCUUUUCCCUCUGCAAGCUGGAAUGGAUGUAAUGUGACUUCUGGAGGUGUCGGUGCCUUCUGAGCCAUAAACCUAUGGAUGAAAGAUAGAACUUUCCCUAAAGAGAUAACAUUCUCUUAGUUUUAGUGCACCUAACUGUUUACAUUGAUACUGCCUGUCACUACCUGGAACAGUCUUCUAUACAUAAUUUCAUAAGGACUGUCUACUGAGCACGCAGUUUUACCAUAACAUGUAUUAAGGUGAGAGGGUGGGGCCUCAGGUGGCUUCAAGUGUGUUUCUUAAUAGAUUUUACUAAUCUGUGUUUUCAGAUCUUGAUUCGUUUCCAUCUUUCCACUAGCAGCCUAUAUAGAUUUUGUAAAUCUCGUGCUUUUCCAAUGAUUUUUGCUGGGUUUUGAACAAUUUCAGCUACAAAAGGUGAACCUAUCUCUGAUGAUAUCCUUAUUGGUACCCCAAAUCCGGAUAUAAUUUUUCUUAGUAUAACCUUUACUACUUCCCUUACUCUGUUGGUAUGACAGGGAUAAGGUUCCAACCAACUUGAAAAAGUAUCAACCAAGACCAGUAAGUACCUGUCUUAAGUACUUAUUGUGGGAGUUCAGAAAAGUCUACCUGCUAAGAGUCUCCUGGGCUGUCUUCCCUCCCUGUAACUCCAGGAUGUGCUCCUUUUGCACUCUGGUUUAUAUUUCUGGUAUAGUUCACACUUGCACACCAUGCUUUUCACAGUUCCUCCCAUUUGUAUACUUAAGACCUGAGUCUUUAGAUUGUCGGUGGUCAUAUCUGAUCUCCAAUGCAUGUCCUGAUGAUCAUCUUCUUGGGGAAUUAUUACCUGAUUAAGGUAUCCGCCAUCCUGACUCAUUUUUCUUAGCUUCUAGCAAGGAAGCUAACUUCUUAUCUUCUGAUAUUUUGGAGGUUCAUCAAUCAGUUCUUUAUAUCUCUGGGGUAAUAAUUGGAGGAAAACUUCUACUGCAUCUUUGGCUUCUGUAUCUGCAUGGUUGUUGCCCGUACUGAUAUUGCAGUGCAUUGUUAGUUGCUACUUUUGGUAAUUGCACCUUUUCUAACAAUUCUAUUAUUGUUUCUCCAUGUUUUAUGGGUGUUCCCUGAGAGACUCCCUGUUCUUUCCAGGUAGCACUAUGUGCAUGCGCAACCCCAAGUGCAAAUUUUAAGUCCAAAUACUGACAUUUUUCCUUUUUGUUAAGUCUACUGCUCUUACAAGGCUAUGAGUUCUGCUUUCUAUGCUGAGAUGGUAGUGCCAGAGUUCCAGCCUGUUACUUCAUCUCUGGUUGUUACAGCAUACUUGGCCUUCUUAAGCCAUUUCUCCCAGAGCUGCUACCAUCCACAAACAUUUCUGUAUCUUUAAUUUCACAUCCUCUUCCUCCACCACGAUCACUUGGUCCUUUGUGAUCCUGCCCAGAAAUAACCAAUAACUUUUUUUUUUUUUUUUUUAAUGGUUGGAAGAAUAGCCACACUUCAGCUGUCUCAGUGGCUUCAAUUAUUGAUGGUGUUUGAUCGCUUCAUUGUCCCUCACGUGGAUUUGUAACUAAAUACACUGCACCUGUAUCUGUAAGAAAUUUUACGCCUUUGUUCCCCAGUUGUCUUGUAACCAGGGGUUUGGCUGAUGUCUCACCUCUUGGUCCCCUCCAUUCUAUAUUUAUUGCAAUUGUAUCUAUGCCCUUUGAGUGAUCUAGCUCUGAUCUGGAUUCUCUGCUGUUAGUUUUGUUCUGUGGGCAAUCCUGUUGCCAAUCUCUAACAUUGUCUGCAUUGAUCAGGUUUCAGGACUGAGAUCUCUGCCCUUAUAUUCUCCCUUCUUGGUUCUGGCAUUUCUGUUAUACCUCUGUGUGGGAAUCAAAUGUUGCUUCUGCAUCAGAAUUAGACAAAUCUUCCCCUGGAAUGCAUGCUCAGUAUAUAGGUGCAUAUAUGUAUAUUUUGUCAUACACGUUGCAAGAAUAUUCUGCAUGAGAUGAAUCAAAUCAGACAACAAAUCAUGGCCUGCCCAAGGAAGUGCCUGAAGAGCAUGGGUGAGGCCUGGCAUCCCUCUCCCCCCUCACCCCGCACCCCAGUGCUCUUUUGUUUAACAAAGACUUUGGAGAAAAUCACCAUAUCAACGCAAAAAGAGCACUGAGACGCUUUGGAAACAACAGGAUGGCUACUGACUGACACCAGAUAACACACGAAUUAACAAAUGUUUAAUUGAGUACCCAGCCAAUGGGGAAACAGGAGAGGGGGCGGAAGGGGGAAACAAGGUGCAAAAAGCUGUCAUUGUGCCCUUAGGGGUGCUCCUGCUUGCGGAACGCCCCCCAUUGCAACUGCAAAUAAAAUAUAUU